CACCGCGGUUAUACGAGAGGCCCAAAAUAAUGAAUAUCGGCGUAAAGAGUGGUUAAGUAAUUACAAUAUUAAAGUAAAACAUUUACCAGGCUGUCAUACGCUUACGUAAAUAUGAGGGUCCUUAACGAAAGUAACUUUAAAUUUUCUGACUCCACGAAAGUUAUGUAA
rnacentral:rRNA from 1 species